AAAGGAGGAGGCGGUGGGAUGGAUCUGUUGCUCCUCCUUCCCAUUCCAUUCUCCCCCUUCAGCAGGCACUUUUCUGAGAACUGCUGCCUCGCUUUAUCUCAGGGCCAGGGCAAAAGGGUUUCUCUGGAUGACCUUGGACUUCUGCUGCGUCCCCUGACUGCUGGCUGGGUGCUUCUGACUGGAUAUGCUCAUCUUCCAGCAUGCUGCAACCCAGGUGUGCACCAGCCUCCUUUUGACCUUAGUUUCCAGCUGUGGCCUGUGCUGACCCACGUUGAGGAGAGCAGCCUUGAAAAGUGUUCCCAGGGUUGCUUCCUCACACAGUGCUUCUGCAAAGAGGCCCCGCGACCGGCUGCAGCUCUUGUGCAGGCACAGAAGGGCAGGGAGAGCCCAUGCGUCUGAAUGUGUGUCCGGCAGCAGAGCCAGAGAGUCCAUGGAGCAGCGAGGCUGAAACCAGCACCCUGAGGGAGG
rnacentral:lncRNA from 1 species